CACCGCGUUGACCAGGAUGGUCUCGAUCUCUUGACCUCGUGAUCCACCCGCCUCGGCCUCCCAAAGUGCUGGGAUUACAAGCGUGAGCCACCGCGCCCGGCCCCCCAACACAUUUUAAAGCACCUUCUGAGUGCCCUUCUUCCUCCUUCCACUAACUGCUGCUGUUCUGGGUGUAACAGGGAGACAAGGAUAUGACCCCAGGUGGGAGAGCUAUUGGAGAUGUGCAGAGAAGCGUUGUUGGUCUGUUAUUGCUGUUGUAAAAGUGGCCCGUAGUGAGUUGUCCAGACAAAUCAAAAUGCAUAGGAAGUUGAAUAUCUUAAAAUGAGAAAUUAACUGGCCAGGUGGUUUGCCAGCAGUCAUCACCAUUUUGAAAAUAUUGGCAUGGAGUCUCUGCGGUGCUGAGAUAUUUUCAUCGCCUGAAUCCUUGUGGAAACUCCCAUUAUCAUUGUGUGCAUGUGCAAAUCCCCCUACUCCUAUAAUUAAUUUCUGUGAGCUCUGUGGAUAAACGGGGAUGCCUCCUGGCCUCUGUUUGCAUUUCCCCUCAGCAUUACUGCAUUUUGUCAGCUUAUUGACAGGGUCAAGGUGACUGGUUUUCCAUGAAUUAAAAUUACUAAAGUGUGACUGUGUAAUCUCCUGGAAAACUAAGUAGAUGCCCUUGGAGACUAACACCUUCAAAAUCUGUUGUGAUUGUGUUCUGCAUUGCUGAGCAAAUCACUUCUUUCCAUACCUUAGCUUCCUCAGUGGUUAAAUGAAGGUUACUACAAACCUCAAGAAGUUGUGAAGGGAAUUAAAUGCAUUACCAUCAGUAAAAAUGUUUAGCACAUUUGCCAUAAUUGAUGCAGAUUUUUAAAAAUAUGGAAUACUUAUGAAUUUGCAUGUAAUCCUUGUGGACAGGCCGUGCUAAUCUCAGUAUUGGUCCAAUUUUAGUGUAUGUGCUGCCAAAGUGAGCACUCAGAUUUCUUUAAAAAAAACUAACAGAUCUGGUUGGCCUUCCACUCCCACCUGCCACCCCAUCUCAUCUCCCACUUUCCCACUCCAGUUUCCCUCCUUCCCCUGUGGUUACCACUUCUGUGAAGAGCUGGCGUGUAGCCUUCCAGUUCCGGUUUUAUACUCCAGCACUGCACAUAGCAUCUAUCAACAACACAGAGAAUUGCUUGUAGGUAUUUAUAGUUAUAUAAGUGAUGCUGUACACUUUCUCUCUGCAGCUUUGUUUCAUUAAGUGUUGUUUUCAAGAUCUGUAUGCUGUCUAGGUAGUUCAUUUUUUUAAACUUCCAUAUAAUAUAGUUAUAUUCAUUUCCCAGUUGGUAGUCCUUUAUGUUUUUCUGAUGCGUUGCUGUUAUGGACAGUGCAGUAGGGUGUUCUACUGGCAUCUACUGGUAGAAGCCAGGGAUGCCAUUAAAUAUCCUGAAAUGCAGUGGAAAGCCUCCUGCCACCCCACAAGCGGACUCAUCUAGCCCCAAAUGUCAUUAGUUCUGACAAUGAGGACUCCUAUUUUAGAAUGUAUUUUGGUGUGAGUUGUGAGAUGAGGGAGCUUGCUUUUUUCCCUCUGAAGAACCAGUCGACCCAGACACUAUUAAGGUAAUGAAUCUUAAGGCAGAGAUAUUUUUCACUUAAAUGGUAGAGAAGAUGCUAUUGCCUUGCUUGUUAAGAUAUAACUUUUUAAAAUUGACUUUGCUUGUCUUACAGAUUCUUAGACUCUGUGAGUAAAGGCAGCUUCGUCUUCCCAGUUCUUCAUGGCUUCAGCAUCCAGAGAUGUCAUUACUGGGAGAGGUUCCCACUCAAAGGUGAAGUCUGCAAAGCUACUUGAGGUUCUGAAUGCUAUGGAGGAGGAAGAGUCCAGCAACAAUAGGGAAGAGAUUUUCAUUGCGCCUCCUGACAAUGCUUCAGGGGAAUUUACUGAUGAGGACUCAGGUGAUGAAGACAGCCAGCGAGGUGCUCACCUUCCUGGCAGUGUGCUGCAUGCUUCAGUCCUGUGUGAGGACUCUGGCACCGGGGAGGAUAAUGAUGACCUAGAGCUGCAGCCAGCCAAGAAGAGGCAGAAAGCAGUUGUGAAGCCUCAGCGCGUUUGGACCAAAAGAGAUAUUCGUCCAGACUUUGGCAGUUGGAUGGCAUCAGAUCCUCAUAUUGAGGAUCUGAAAAGCCAAGAACUGAGUCCUGUGGGCCUUUUUGAAUUGUUUUUUGAUGAAGGAACAAUUAAUUUCAUUGUUAAUGAAACCAAUCGUUACGCUUGGCAGAAAAAUGUCAAUCUGAGUCUUACAACUCAGGAAUUGAAGUGUGUUUUGGGCAUUUUGAUUUUAAGUGGGUACAUCUCUUAUCCAAGGAGAAGGAUGUUCUGGGAAACCUCUCCUGAUUCACAUCAUCAUCUUGUAGCUGAUGCAAUUAGAAGGGACAGAUUUGAACUAAUCUUCUCAUACCUACAUUUUGCAGAUAACAACGAACUUGAUGCAAAUGAUAGGUUUGCCAAGGUCAGACCUCUCAUCAUCCGGAUGAACUGCAAUUUCCAGAAGCAUGCACCCUUGGAAGAGUUCUACAGCUUUGGGGAGUCUAUGUGUGAGUACUUUGGGCGUCGGGGGUCCAGGCAGCUGUACACAGGGAAGCCUUUGCGACUUGGGUACAAGAUUUGGUGUGGGACAACCAGCAGAGGCUACUUGGUUUGGUUUGAGCCCUCACAGGGCACACUUUUUACCAAGCCAGACAGGAGCUUGGAUCUAGGAGGCAGUAUGGUAGUAAAAUUUGUGGAUGCACUUCAGGAGCGUGGUUUUCUGCCAUAUCACAUAUUUUUUGACAAGGUUUUUACAAGUGUUAAACUGAUGUCCAUUUUGAGGAAAAAGGGGGUGAAGGCCACAGGAACUGUUCGUGAGUACAGGACUGAGCGAUGUCCCCUAAAAGACCCCAAAGAACUGAAGAAAAUGAAGAGGGGUUCAUUUGAUUACAAAGUUGAUGAGAGUGAGGAGAUCAUCGUGUGCCGCUGGCACGAUAGCAGCGUGGUCAACAUUUGCUCCAAUGCUGUGGGUAUAGAGCCAGUGAGGGUGACUAGUCGUCACUCUGGAACAGCUAAAACGCGGACUCAGGUCCACCAACCAUCACUGGUGAAGCUGUAUCAGGAGAAGGUGGGGGGUGUUGGUCGGAUGGACCAGAAUAUUGCCAAGUACAAGGUGAAGAUCCGAGGCAUGAAGUGGUACUCAAGCUUCAUUGGCUAUGUCAUUGAUGCUGCCCUCAACAAUGCAUGGCAGCUACAUAGGAUCUGCUGCCAAGAUGCCCAGGUGGACCUCCUUGCUUUCCGGAGAUAUAUUGCCUGUGUGUAUCUGGAGAGCAAUGCUGACACGACCUCUCAAGGGAGGCGAAGCAGGCGGCUGGAGACUGAGAGCCGCUUUGAUAUGAUUGGGCAUUGGAUUAUCCACCAGGACAAGAGGACCCGAUGUGCCCUCUGCCACUCACAGACCAAUACCCGGUGCGAGAAGUGCCAGAAGGGUGUCCAUGCCAAGUGCUUCAGGGAGUACCACAUCCGGUGACAUCGCGAGACAUGCUUGUUUGGUUUAUAACGAGAUGUUUAUAGCUCAUUACGGAUCGCAGUAUUUCAGGGCAACUAGGAGGGGGCAUGCAUCUGCGGAGAAACUGUGAGCAACAGUAUCUGUGCUGAGCCUUGUCGCCACCAGAGGGCCCAUGUACCGACUCCUGAGCAACUUCCCUAUGAGGUGCCAGAAGCAGCAGGGAGCUUUAUCUUCCUCAGGGCAGCAUGAAGGUCGUGUCAGCUUGGUGUUAUUCAUUGGUGAGUAAAAAAGCUUCCUGUUCACAUCCCUGAGUGCAGAGGAGAGAGUCUUUAGAGAGUACUCAGCAGAGGAAGGAAUUCAUCUAGAAAAAUGAAACCCUCCAAUCCCACUAUUUUGACUACACUCUGAUAUUGUCAAUGUCCAAAACACAGUGCCUGCUAAUGUAUAUUCUCACAGUGGCCUUUAAUGUAGUAAUCGCAAUGUGCCCUAACACCAAUAUAAUAUCCACACCAUGCCCUAACACUAAUCUAAUAUCCACACCAUGCCGUAACACUAAUAUAUCCACACAGUAGCCUCUAAUAUUAGUAAAUAUAUCUACUAAGUAGACUCUGUUGACAUUGAGACUUUUAUAAGGGUUUCACAGCUUUGGUUGAACUAUAGCGUCUAUAAUGGAUUUUGAUGAAGUCUCUGCUUUCCUGGCAUGGUAUUGAUAUGGUUGUUUUAAAAAGUAAUUUACUUUCCAAUAAUGUCAUACUUCUAGGAAUCCUCCAAUAGCAGUACAAAGUAUAAACUGUUCCUUCUCUUAGAUUCUGCAGCAGUUGUUGCAGUACCAGAUUUACAUGUCCCACGAAAUACUUCAGUGUAUUUUACCCAAAGUAGAGACACUCUCCCAGGUAACCACUACAUUUCCCUAGAUCAGGAAAUCAGCAUGGUCCCUACAUGAUAAUUCAGUCUACAAACUCAUUUCACUUUUACCUCCUGCAUCACCUGGGAGUACAAUGUGUUUUUUCAUUUUUCUGAUCCUGUUUUAUUUUCCUGGCACUGUUCCCAGACUUUCCUGCAUAUUUGUCACCUUGACAGAUUUAAAGAGCAUGCAAAUUGUUUGAACACCUGUCUUCAGGUCUUUGAUGUAUAUGCCUAGGAAUGGAAUAAUUGAGCCAUAUGGCAAAUCUAUUUGUAACUGAAGAAACACCAAAAAAUUUUACAGAUAGGCUACACCAUUUAUUAUUGUUACAAGCAGUGUUUUAAGGGUUCAAGUUUCUGCACAUCUUUGUCAACUCAUUUUUUUUUAGUAUAACUAUUCUAGUGUGAAAUUUUUUUGAAUUUUUUUUGAGACGGAGUCUUUCUCUGUUGCCCAGGCUGGAGUGCAGUAGUACCA